GGAAGGUGUGCAGAAGGAGUGGGAGAGAACUGAGUCCAACAAAUUUGCAACAAAUGCCACGGAGUUCACACUUUCAACAUUUUAAAGGUAAACAAGGUGGGUAACACCAAGUGGCAAUGGCAAGAUUAAAAAUUAGAGGAGAUACUCUGCUUUAUGGAGAUACACAGCAUUUAUCCCCCAAGCAGUGCAGAAUGUGUGAGAGUGGAAGAGAAAGUCCUGUGUCCAGGCCAUGGACUCCUUUCUGGAGGCAGUGAUGUUUCCCAAAUGCUGAUGUGUUCUGCUGGAAUCCAGUGUGGAACAAGCCAGGGUCCUUCUUUGCUUCCUACAACAUGGUGAAGAAUUACGGGGUGUUAAAGAAGAGUAACUAUUCAGUGUCCUCAUACUGCUGGUAAAGUUCCAGGUUUUAAAUUGGUUGCUAGGAAUAUGUAGCCUCUAUUCAAGCACUAAUUUAAAUUGACUCGGGCUGUCUGGAGGUGUUAAUUGCAUGUACUCAUCCCCUCCACUCUUGGUUUGUCCUCACCCUCAAUCUGACAUACCAGACACCCUUGAGGACGAUGCAUGGGCACAAAAAACUUUGUGCAAAAUAAACAGUGUAACACUCCAAGUACAUCAUGA